AAAGGGUCCGCAGGCGGAUUUAUAAGUCAGUGGUGAAAGCCCAUCGCUCAACGAUGGAACGGCCAUUGAUACUGUCAGACUUGAAUUACUAGGAAGUAACUAGAAUAUGUAGUGUAGCGGUGAAAUGCUUAGAUAUUACAUGGAAUACCAAUUGCGAAGGCAGGUUACUACUAGUGGAUUGACGCUGAUGGACGAAAGCGUGGGGAGCGAACAGGAUUAGAUACCCUUGU
rnacentral:rRNA from 1 species